rnacentral:rRNA from 1 species
UUAGAGUUUGAUUCCUGGGUUCAGACGGAACGCCGGGCGGCAUGCUUAAUACAUGCAAGUCGAGCGAACUGACGGAGGAACCUUGUUCCUCUUGACGUGAGCGGCGGACGGGUGAGUAACACGUGGGAAACCUACCUUUCAGCGGGGGAUAACGUUCGGAAACGGGCGCUAAUACCGCAUAACGUUAAUAGUCGCAUGACUAUUAAAUAAAAGACGGCUCUGCUGUCACUGAAAGAUGGACCCGCGGUGCAUUAGUUAGUUGGUAAGGUAACGGCUUACCAAGACGAUGAUGCAUAGCCGACCUGAGAGGGUGAUCGGCCACACUGGGACUGAGACACGGCCCAGACUCCUACGGGAGGCAGCAGUAGGGAAUCUUCCGCAAUGGACGAAAGUCUGACGGAGCAAUGCCGCGUGUAUGAAGAAGGUCUCCGGAUCGUAAAGUACUGUUAUCAGCCAAGGACAAUUCACAGAGUAACUGUUGUGGAUCUGACGGUAACUGAUCAGAAAGCCACGGCUAACUACGUGCCAGCAGCCGCGGUAAUACGUAGGUGGCAAGCGUUGUCCGGAUUUAUUGGGCGUAAAGGGAGCGCAGGCGGUGACUUAAGUCUGAUGUGAAAGCCCACGGCUCAACCGUGGAAGGUCAUUGGAAACUGGGUCACUUGAAUGGAGCAGAGGAGAACGGAAUUCCAUGUGUAGCAGUGAAAUGCGUAGAUAUAUGGAGGAACACCAGUGGCGAAGGCGGUUCUCUGGGCUCACAUUGACGCUGAGGCUCGAAAGCGUGGGGAGCGAACAGGAUUAGAUACCCUGGUAGUCCACGCCGUAAACGAUGAGUGCUAAGUGUUGGGGGGCUUCCACCCCUCAGUGCUGGCGUUAACGCAAUAA